rnacentral:rRNA from 1 species
GAUGAACGCUGGCGGCGUGCCUAAUACAUGCAAGUCGAGCGAACGGACGAGAAGCUUGCUUCUCUGAUGUUAGCGGCGGACGGGUGAGUAACACGUGGAUAACCUACCUAUAAGACUGGGAUAACUUCGGGAAACCGGAGCUAAUACCGGAUAAUAUUUUGAACCGCAUGGUUCAAAAGUGAAAGACGGUCUUGCUGUCACUUAUAGAUGGAUCCGCGCUGCAUUAGCUAGAUGGUAAGGUAACGGCUUACCAAGGCAACGAUGCAUAGCCGACCUGAGAGGGUGAUCGGCCACACUGGAACUGAGACACGGUCCAGACUCCUACGGGAGGCAGCAGUAGGGAAUCUUCCGCAAUGGGCGAAAGCCUGACGGAGCAACGCCGCGUGAGUGAUGAAGGUCUUCGGAUCGUAAAACUCUGUUAUUAGGGAAGAACAUAUGUGUAAGUAACUGUGCACAUCUUGACGGUACCUAAUCAGAAAGCCACGGCUAACUACGUGC